rnacentral:ribozyme from 10 species
ACUCGUCAGAGCGAGUAUAAAUAGCUUUUUAGGCUCUGAAGCGUACC